rnacentral:rRNA from 1 species
GUACGGGAGGCAGCAGCUAAGAAUCUUCCGCAAUGGACGAAAGUCUGACGGAGCGACGCCGCGUGGAUGAUGAAGGCCGAGAGGUUGUAAAAUCCUUUUCUUGGUGAAGAAUAAGAAUUGGAGUGGAAUGCCAGUUUGAUGACGUUAGCCAAGGAAUAAGCUCCGGCCAAUUACGUGCCAGCAGCCGCGGUAACACGUAGGAGCGAGCGUUGUUCGGAAUUAUUGGGCGUAAAGGGCGUGUAGGCGGUUACGUAAGACUGAUGUAAAAGGCACUGGCUCAACCAGUGAGUUGCGUUGGUAACUGCGUAGCUAGAGUUCAGAAGAGGGAACUGGAAUUCCAGGUGUAGGGGUGAAAUCUGUAGAUAUCUGGAAGAACGCCAAAGACGAAGGUAAGUUCCUGGUCAUGGACUGACGCUGAGGCGCGAAAGCGUGGGGAGCAAACAGGAUUAGAUACCCGGGUAGUCCC